rfam:Triticum aestivum genome assembly, contig: Triticum_aestivum_CS42_TGACv1_scaffold_623169_7DS
GCGCCCGUGGCCUAAUGGAUAAGGCGUUUGACUUCUAAUCAAGCGAUUGUGGGUUCGAGUCCCACCGGGCGUG